AUGGCAGCGGCAGAGGGCAGCAAGGAGGAGACGAGCAGGAGGAAGGCAGAGCGGGUGGCGCUGCCGGCGGGCAUGAUACUGGUGCAGGUGUUGACGGUGGUGACCAUGCUAUUGUCCAAGGCGGCGCUCAACGGCGGCAUGCAACCCCUGGUCCUCCUCGUCUACCGCAACCUCGUCGCUGCUGCCACCGUUGCCCCCCUUGCCGUCGUUUUUGAGAGGGAAAUAUUGAAGAAAGUGAACAUGGUUGUUUUGGGCUGGAUCUUCAUCAACGCUACUUUCGGAGUUUUGCUGGCGACGGGGCUGUACUACUGCGCCCUACGGGCCACCAGCGCCGCCUAUACCGUCAACUUCUUCAACCUCAUUCCCGUUGUCACCUUCCUCAUCGCCGUCGUGCUCCAGGCCGAGCGCAUCUCCCUCGGCACCUGGCCCGGCAGGAUGAAGCUGGUCGGCACGGCCGUUGGUGUCGCCGGCACCAUGGUGGUCAGCCUAUGCAAGGGCCCUCAUCUCCCGCUGCCGCACCUCCGGCCGUCCAAUGCCCACGCCCACGCCAGCGCACCGGCACCGGCGUCGGUGAUCCAAGGUGGCCACGACAUGGCCGUCGGCACGCUGCGUGAGCUACGCACUAUGGUUCGUGGUGCAGGCUAG
rnacentral:rRNA from 1 species